GCUCACUGAUAUAGAAUUUAAGAGCUGCAGUAUUUUAACUGUACAAAGGUAGCAUAAUCAUUAGUCUUUUAAUUGUAGGCUGGUAUGAAAGGUUAGACGUAGAAAUAACUGUCUUUAUUAUAUAGAGUGAGCUUUAUUUUUUUGUGAAAAAGCAAAAAUGAAUUAAAGGGACGAGAAGACCCUAUUAAGCUUUAAUAUAUUGAGUUUUAUUAUUAAUUAUUAAUUAUUAAUUAUUUAAUAUAUUUUAUUUGGGGCGAAUAGUAUAUUAAACAAUAUUUUUUAUAAUAAUUUUAGUUGAAGGGGUUUAGAUCCAACAAUAGGUUGAUUUUUAGAAUAAGUUACUAUAGGGAUAACAGCGUUAUAUUAUUUGAGAGUUCAUAUUGACAAUAAUGUUUGCGACCUCGAUGUUGGAUUAAGAUUCCUUUAUAAUGCAGAAGUUAAUAAGUGGUGGUCUGUUCGACCAAUAAUUUCUUACAUGAUCU
rnacentral:rRNA from 1 species